AUAACAUUUUUAAGGCCCUUCACUAGUAUAGAUUUGCUGUUUGGAUUCUAUAACAAAGUUUAUUAGUUUCAUUUUUGCAGACCCUUUAAUGGUUGAAAGUGGUCCCUUAAUCUAGCAUUGUCUCCUGCUUCUCACUUAUUCUCAUACUUCUCACAUAUCAUUACUUAAUAGCACUGCACCAUGAUGAUGACUCAAGUGCUAAGUGCUAUUCUCAUUCUAAAGUCUAUUCUCAAUGUGAUGAACAGACAGAAGAAAAGGAAGAAUCCAUCUGGGCUUCUGCUCUCAGCUGUUUACUAUAUUUUGUUUGUGAUAGAGGCAGAAUAAGGAGGAGCAGACUUAAAGGUCUUGACAUAAGGGUUGUUCAGGUGCUUAUAUGUGUUAGCAGGAUGAACUCUUGGGCCGAAAUAGUUCACAGCAAGCUUAUUGGCAUGUUAACUAACAUGUUUUAUGAAAUACCGGAGAUAUCUUAUAAAGAUCUUUCAGCUAUCCCUGAGUUUCUUAUUCAGCAAGUUGAUCUGAUUGGAGGAAUUGAAUUUAUAUUUGUAGAGGAGUUAAAGUUGUGCUGGGAGUCCAUCACACGGGAAUAACUUUUGCUUGGCAUUUUGUGCCUAAUUUAGUGCUUUCAAACUCGAGGGAAGAAAGAAGGAAUCUGUACCUGGUGCUUUUUGAUUAUGCUUUGCAUCAAAUAAAUGAGUCAUGCAUUGCUUGUGGAACGUCAGACUACAGUCAUGAUGAGGUCCAACCUGUUGCUAUGCUGCUUAUGCUUGCAGAUGCACCUGAAGCUUUGCAUAUAUCCGUAAAGCUUGGAUUAGAAGGCAUCUUAGAGCUUCUGCAACGCCCAAUAUCUAGUGCAUUGUCCAAAUAUCCAAACUCUGACAGACUUUCAAUGGUAAUGCUAACUUCAUUUCUUGCUUAUUUUAAUUGGCCAUCAGACAAGAUAAUGUGUCAUAUGAAACAUCUGAAAAAGCUUAUCCAAUCGUGAUUGUGAUGAACUGGUAAAAGAUUGAUGCUUCUCAUUAUAUGCUGUUUGAUGAGUAGUAAUUUGGUUGUGCUUCUUGGUGACUAAUCAACAUAUUUAAUAGCCUAAACGUACCUGCAAGGAAAUUUGGGUCUCAGAGAAAGUAAUUCUCUAUAUGCAUAGAAGAUUUUCUCAUUGAGUUACCAACUUUUUUUGGGUUUUGGGGGCGGGGGAUUGUUAAGACUCGUCGAGGGGUGUAUGAUGAAGAUUCAUCCGUCUUCAUAUUUCCUGUAGUCAAAUUGGUCUCUAAAGCACUCCUAUAUUUACUUCUAUGAAUCCAGUACCCCCCAAACCAGGGUGAUUAUAUGUUACGGAUAAAGAUUCUAUACACUGAGCUUCUAUUCUCUUUUCUUGGUUCAAGGAAGGAAAACCAAAAAGCUUAUUCACCCCUAGUUUCGGUCAACUUUGUUGUUAGCAUACUUGUUCAAAUUUCCUUACAUUUGCUGUGUAAGUUUCGUGAGCUUAGUUAGUCUAAGAUUCUGUAUUAAUUCACGUAGUAAUUUCCAUUUUUCUAUUUUUCGCCCGUCUUGUUUGUGUUCCUUUAGAGUUUUUCCACGUGGUGUUGUUUCAUACACACAAACAUGAGACGUGUUAAUUAGCAUGAGUUGAUGUGAGUUGGAUGUUACCAUAUAGUCACCUCAGUGAUAAUCUGUAGAAAUAAAUGCUAACAGAAUGAUAAUUGAAAAUGUUUAGACAUUUGUGAGUUUGAGUUUUCAAUUUCCACUUACAAAUUUUCAAUUGAAUUUGAGUAAGAAAAUGCUCUCACACACGUUUACCUUGUGUUCUCUCUCCUACUAGAUUUGUAGAGCAACCUUUUUCCGGUUCUCUCGCCGUAUUUUAUAAUCGUGGUGUCUAGGUCAGCUUGCGCUCACCUUGGCGAAUCUUACGAGAUACUUACCACUUGUUAAGCCUCACAUGUCAUUACAUGAAUCCCAACGUCAAUUUGUCUACCCGCGUCUGGGAGAACACAACAAACACAAUUGUUAUGGAUGUAGGUACAGUGGUCAAAGCAUCCUAGAAGCUCAAUUCUAUCCAAGGACAAAGAUAAAGAUGGGAGCUUUAGAAGUUUCAAAAAGGACACUAACAAGAUCUCAAGCUACAUAAUUGCAAAACAAGGUUGUUGGGUUUGAAGUGCAAAUAAAGAAGCCGUUAAUUUUGGAGGAAGAGCCCAACGCUAAAGGAGAUGAGUUGGCUAAGUGUUAUAGCUUGUAAAAAGAUUAAUUGAGGUUCGUGCAAGCUGAUAGCACACCAAUGUUAUCAAAUUAGGAAAUUGGAGAGCAUUAGAAAGAGGCUGUUCUACAAUUCUUAGGAGGUAGGAGAGAAAAAACCUUCAUAGAUGUUCUUGAGCAUUUUCUUACUCAGGCUAGACAAGUAGAUAGAUGCAUCCAUUUGGAUGCUCCAAAACCUCAUAAAAUUGGGAAACUUUUUAGAGUGGAUUUUCAAGCACUGGAGAUGCUGAUAUAAAUUGAUAGCUAUAGAGAAGCUGGGAAAAUGGGGAAAAUGGUGGCUGAGGUCUUUAUUAAAA